rnacentral:tRNA from 1 species
GCCCUGGUAGCUCAGACGGAUAGAGCGUUCCCCUCCUAAGGGAAAGGUCAGAGGUUCAACUCCUCUUCAGGGCA